rnacentral:tRNA from 1 species
GGGUCGUUAGCUCAGUUGGUAGAGCAGUUGACUUUUAAUCGGUGGUCGCAGGUUCAGAUCCUGCACGACCCG